UCCAAAAUGAAAUCUUUCCGAAACAUUCCUCCUCCCACCACCCAACUCCAACAAACCACAGUGAGACACAUUUGGACCCUUCAAUAUAAUCAAUACUAAGUCCAUCAGGGGAGAGAGGAGUCUCCCUUGCACCAUAGACCCCCAGGAAACACAGCUGCCACUCCUUGUGUUUCCAUGUCACACAUGGCACCGCCCGGAGAAAGAAAGUUUGCCAGUGUGACCCUCUCCUUUCCAUGCACAGUGCUCUCACCACCGAUGCAUGCAUGGACAGACUGCUUUUAGGAUUUUUCCUUUCAAGGAUACUCUUCCAAGAGGGAAAAAAACAACAGUUCAGUUUUUCAUUUUUUUGGGACCACAGUCCCCCCCAUUUUCUUCCUCCCCUGGGGCCGAGGGUCUCAGGAACAAAGAUCUUCUCUUCUUCUUCUCUGAAGACAGGGGGCACCACCACAAACCUCCCCAACUUUCCUCUGUUCGCUCCACUCCUGUGUUUUCAUCAGCUGCUGAAGCAGGUCUCUUGGCUCACCAGCAUCCUCCUAAAAUACAGUCUCUCUCUUGGAGGAGAAAAUCAGUUCAGUCUAUGGCUAACAAGAAAAAGUCCAGCCAGAAGCCACUCCAUCAUCUCCUUCCACCCAGAAUUUCUCCUUCUAACAUCUCGGGUCCCAGGCUGUCUCUCUUCUUCUUUUUCAAACCGGGGAGGAGUAAAAUUUCACAAAGCUUUCAUUUCUCAAGGGAGGGUUAAAAGUCCCAAUUCCCUGGCUGGCUCUCUGCCCGGAUCUCCGGCUCCCACCUGGGAGCUGGGCACCUUGGGGCCUUGGGGCCCCCCCGCUCUCCUCCUUCCCUGCGGUACUGCUGGCAAACUGUUGCUGUCUCUUUUGAGAGAGAGACUCUGGGGGAUGAGGGGGGGGGGGAACGGAGAUGUCCCAGAUUUUUUCCACCCUUCCAUCUGCAGGGGCCAGCCCGGUUCCAGUCCCUCCACCCUUCGGCCUUACCACAGCCAAGCCUCGGGCCUUCCCUCCCCCACCCAGCGAGGGGCCGGGCAGGGGAGAGUCCUGCACUGCGCCCUGACUGGAACAAAAAAGAGAGCGAGUUCCCCUGGGAAUGUUGCUUUUAACCCCUCUGUGUUCUCAGAGGCGUGUCCACCUUCAAUUGGUCACCCCAAGCGUCAAUAUCC
rnacentral:lncRNA from 1 species